GACGAACGCUGGCGGCGUGCUUAACACAUGCCAGUCGAACGGAAAGGCCCUGCUCUUGUGGGGUGCUCGAGUGCCGAACGGGUGAGUAACACGUGUGUAACCUCCCCUUGACUUUGGGAUAACUCCAGGAAACUCGGGCGAUUACCGCGUAUGAGCUCCUGCUGCACGGUGGUGGUUGGUAAGUGUCGGCGUUUGUGGAUGGACUCGCGGCUUAUCAGCUUGUUGGCGGGGUAGUGGCUUACCAAGGCUUCGACGGGUAGCCGGCCUGAGAGGGUGACCGGGCACAAUGGGACUGAGGGAGGGCCCAGACGGAUACGGGAGGCAGCGGUGGGGAACAUUGCGCAAUAGGCGGACGCCUGAUACAGGAACGCCGGGUGCGGGAAGACGGCUUUCGGGGUGUAAACCGAUUUCGCCUGUGACGAAGAGUGAGUGACGGUAAUGGGUAAAGAAGCAACGGCUAACUACGUG
rnacentral:rRNA from 1 species